rnacentral:rRNA from 1 species
GAUGAACGCUGGCGGCGUGCCUAAUACAUGCAAGUCGAGCGAACAGACGAGGAGCUUGCUCCUCUGACGUUAGCGGCGGACGGGUGAGUAACACGUGGAUAACCUACCUAUAAGACUGGGAUAACUUCGGGAAACCGGAGCUAAUACCGGAUAAUAUAUUGAACCGCAUGGUUCAAUAGUUAAAGACGGUUUUGCUGUCACUUAUAGAUGGAUCCGCGCCGCAUUAGCUAGUUGGUAAGGUAACGGCUUACCAAGGCAACGAUGCGUAGCCGACCUGAGAGGGUGAUCGGCCACACUGGAACUGAGACACGGUCCAGACUCCUACGGGAGGCAGCAGUAGGGAAUCUUCCGCAAUGGGCGAAAGCCUGACGGAGCAACGCCGCGUGAGUGAUGAAGGUCUUCGGAUCGUAAAACUCUGUUAUUAGGGAAGAACAAACGUGUAAGUAACUAUGCACGUCUUGACGGUACCUAAUCAGAAAGCCACGGCUAACUACGUG